GUCCACGCCUAACGAUGCAUACUUGGUGUGAGCGAUUCAUUCGUUCGUGCCGGAGCUAACGCGUUAAGUAUGCCGCCUGGGAGUACGGUCGCAAGGCUGAACUCAAGGAAUUGACGGGCCGGCACAAGCGGUGGAGCAUGUGGUUUAAUUUCGAGGCAACGCGAAGAACCUUACCCAGGCUUGACAUCCUGCGCUACUCUUGGAACAAGGGGUUCCCUUCGGGACGCAGAGACAGGUGUUGCAUGGCUGUCGU
rnacentral:rRNA from 1 species